rnacentral:lncRNA from 10 species
CCAAGGCUGGCCUAGGGUGUCUUAUGCUGCAGGCAUCCCUUGAAUGUUUAUGAAACACCCAUCAUAUGCCAGACCUUGUGCCAAGUGCUCAGGAUGCAAGAGAUAAAGAUUUGAGAAAUGCAUUGUGUGACUAAGGUGACAAAGAAACAACAGCAAUUCACUGGGCUAAGUGGUUUGUACAACAACCAGGAGAGAGCAGAUUAAUUCUGUCUAGGAGCUCAGGAUGGCACUUGAACCAGACUUUGAAAAAUGUG